rnacentral:rRNA from 1 species
UAACAUAUCAAUAAGCGGAGGAAAAGAAACCAACUGGGAUUGCCCUAGUAACGGCGAGUGAAGCGGCAACAGCUCAAAUUUGAAAUCUGGCUCCUCCUCGGGGUCCGAGUUGUAAUUUGCAGAGGAUGCUUUGGCGUGGCUCCGGUCUAAGUCCCUUGGAACAGGGCGUCGUAGAGGGUGAGAAUCCCGUAUGCGACCGGCCGCCUUCGCCGUGUAAAGCUCCUUCGACGAGUCGAGUUGUUUGGGAAUGCAGCUCUAAAUGGGAGGUAAAUUUCUUCUAAAGCUAAAUAUUGGCCAGAGACCGAUAGCGCACAAGUAGAGUGAUCGAAAGAUGAAAAGCACUUUGGAAAGAGAGUUAAAAAGUACGUGAAAUUGUUGAAAGGGAAGCGCUUGCAACCAGAUCUGCCCGCAGUUGCUCACCCGGGCUUCUGCCCGGUGCACUCUUCUGCGGGCAGGCCAGCAUCGGUUUGGGCGGCCGGACAAAGGCUUCGGGAAUGUGGCUCCUCUCGGGGAGUGUUAUAGCCCGUCGCGCAAUGCGGCCAGCCCGGACCGAGGUCCGCGCUUCGGCUAGGAUGCUGGCGUAAUGGUUGUAAGCGGCCCGUCUUGAAACACGGACCAAGGAGUCUACCAUCUGUGCGAGUGUUUGGGUGUCAAACCCAUGCGCGUAAUGAAAGUGAACGGAGGCGGGAACCUUCGGGUGCACCGUCGACCGAUCCUGAUGUCUUCGGAUGGAUUUGAGUAAGAGCAUGGCUGGUGGGACCCGAAAGAUGGUGAACUAUGCUUGAAUAGGGUGAAGCCAGAGGAAACUCUGGUGGAGGCUCGCAGCGGUUCUGACGUGCAAAUCGAUCGUCAAAUUUGGGCAUAGGGGCGAAAGACUAAUCGAACCAUUUAGUAGCUGGUUCCUGCCGAAGUUUCCCUCAGGAUAGCAGUGGCGUUUUCAGUUUUAUGAGGUAAAGCGAAUGAUUAGAGGCCUGGGGGUUGAAACAACCUUCACCUAUUCUCAAACUUUAAAUAUGUAAGAAGUCCUUGUUGCUUAGUUGAACGUGGACAUUUGAAUGAACCGCCACUAGUGGGCCAUUUUUGGUAAGCAGAACUGGCGAUGCGGGAUGAACCGAACGCGGAGUUAAGGUGCCGGAAUGCACGCUCAUCAGACACCACAAAAGGUGUUAGUUCAUCUUGACAGUCGGACGGUGGCCAUGGAAGUCGGAACCCGCUAAGGAGUGUGUAACAACUCACCGACCGAAUGAACUAGCCCUGAAAAUGGAUGGCGCUCAAGCGUGCUACCCAUACUCCGCCGCCGGGGUAGAAUUUUCGCCCCGGCGAGUAGGCAGGCGUGGGGGUCCGUGACGAAGCCUUGGGGGUGACCCCGGGUCGAACGGCCCCUAUG